AGUUGCCCUCUUCCUCACCCUCAAUCUCCUCUUCUUUGCCCUCACCACUGCCUGUGGCACCAGUUGCCCCACACCUACACCGAAGCCCACCCCACGCCCAUCCUACGGCAAAUGCCCCGUCGACACCCUGAAACUGGCCGCCUGCGCCAACGUGCUCAACGGCCUGAUCACCGUCGGCGUCGGCAAGUUCCCGAAGCAACCGUGCGAGUGCUGUACUCUCAUCGACGGCCUCCUUGACCUCGAGGCCGCCGUCUGCCUGUGCACUGCUCUCAAGGCCAAUGUCCUGGGCAUCCACCUCAACCUCCCCAUCAACCUCAGCUUGCUCCUCAACUACUGCGGCAAGAAGGUCCCCAAGGAGUUCCAGUGCCCUUGAGCCUCGCUGUCAUCUCUGUCGUCUGUUCCCGUAGUGCAUGC
rnacentral:lncRNA from 1 species